rnacentral:rRNA from 1 species
CACCGGCUAACUACCGUGCCAGCAGCCGCGGUAAUACGGAGGGUGCGAGCGUUAAUCGGAAGUUACUGGGCGUAAAGCGCAUGCAGGCGGCCUGUUAAGUCAGAUGUGAAAGACCCGGGGCGUUAACCUCGGAAUUGCAUUUGUAAACUGGCAGGCUAGAGUCUUGUAGAGGGGGGUAGGAAGUUUCAGGUGUAGCGGUGAAAUAGCGUAGAGAUCUGAAGGAAUACCAGUGGCGAAGGCGGCCCCCUCGGACAAAGACUGACGCUCAGAUGCGAAAGCGUGGGGAGCAAACAGGAUUAGAUACCCCUGGUAG